rnacentral:rRNA from 1 species
AACGAACGCUGGCGGCAUGCCUAACACAUGCAAGUCGAACGAAGUCUUCGGACUUAGUGGCGCACGGGUGCGUAACGCGUGGGAAUCUGCCCUUGGGUACGGAAUAACUCAGAGAAAUUUGUGCUAAUACCGUAUAAUGUCUUCGGACCAAAGAUUUAUCGCCCAAGGAUGAGCCCGCGUAAGAUUAGCUAGUUGGUGGGGUAAAGCCUACCAAGGCGACGAUCUUUAGCUGGUCUGAGAGGAUGAUCAGCCACACUGGGACUGAGACACGGCCCAGACUCCUACGGGAGGCAGCAGUGGGGAAUAUUGGACAAUGGGCGAAAGCCUGAUCCAGCAAUGCCGCGUGAGUGAUGAAGGCCUUAGGGUUGUAAAGCUCUUUUACCAGGGAUGAUAAUGACAGUACCUGGAGAAUAAGCUCCGGCUAACUCCGUGCCAGCCGCCGCUGUAACA